GGUUCGAAUCCUGCACGACCCACCAAUUUAACAUCAAACUCAGAUGUUGAACGUGAAGGAUAACGUUGCGUCAGCAACGGCCCGUAGGGCAAGGCGAAGCCGAGUCAUCCUGCACGACCCACCA
rnacentral:sRNA from 3 species